rnacentral:lncRNA from 1 species
UUUUUGCCUGAUUGGUACAGUGGAGUUAGUAGGACUCCGAAAAGUCUAAUCUCUCCGUUUUGGAGGAGCAAGGGUCAGAACUAUUAGAGAGAAAGUCAAACCUUCAGGAUCAGUCCUACAACAAAAUUGCUUAGGGCCAUCAGAAUGCAAGUGAAACUACUCAUUUAAGGAGGACGUGGAGGAGAAACAAAUCAGCCCAGCCAGCCAUCAUAGGUGUUGUGUGGCAAAUGGCGAGUAGGCAAGCAAAGGUGGAAGCAGUGGAUUGCAGACCAGUAAGGAUGGGGAUGAUAAGAAGAGACCUGUGAUCAUUCAUCGAGCCAUUUUGGGAUCAGUGGAAAGAAUGAUAGCCAUUCUUUCAGAAAACUAUGGCGGAAAAUGGUAUCCAGUGAAUUUUUUGAAGAAGGAUUUAUGGCUGACGUUGACUUGGAUCACAGUUGUACACUAAAUAAGAAAAUACGAAAUGCACAGCUGGCUCAGUAUAAUUUUAUUUUGGUGGUUGGAGAAAAGGAAAAGAUAGAUAAUGCUGUAAACGUGCGAACAAGAGACAACAAAAUUCAUGGAGAGAUUUUAGUAACUUCUGCCAUUGAUAAACUGAAGAAUCUCAGGAAGACACGGACACUCAAUGCUGAGGAGGCCUUUUGAAGUCCUUCCCUGAUAUUUGCUUCUGUGUAACUUUGUUUUGACCCUUAAAAAUGUAUUUUUCUUAACAUGUUAGUACUUCUACGACUUUGGAGCCACUGAUGGGUCCACUCAUG